UACGGGGGGGGCAAGCGUUGUUCGGAAUUACUGGGCGUAAAGCGCGCGUAGGCGGCUUUUCAAGUCGGGCGUGAAAGCCCCGGGCUUAACCCGGGAAUGGCGCUCGAUACUGUUGAGCUAGAGUGUGGAAGGGGCUACUGGAAUUCCGUGUGUAGCGGUGAAAUGCGUAGAUAUCUGGAGGAACACCGGUGGCGAAGGCGGCAUCCUGGACCAACACUGACGCUGAGUGAGCGAAAGCCAGGGGAGCAAACGGG
rnacentral:rRNA from 1 species